GUGGAUUAGUGGCGAACGGGUGAGUAACACGUGGGAAAUCUGCCCUGCACUCUGGGACAAGCCUUGGAAACGAGGUCUAAUACCGGAUAUGACUGCUGACCGCAUGGUCGGUGGUGGAAAGCUCCGGCGGUGCAGGAUGAUCCCGCGGCCUAUCAGCUUGUUGGUGGGGUAAUGGCCUACCAAGGCGACGACGGGUAGCCGGCCUGAGAGGGCGACCGGCCACACUGGGACUGAGACACGGCCCAGACUCCUACGGGAGGCAGCAGUGGGGAAUAUUGCACAAUGGGCGAAAGCCUGAUGCAGCGACGCCGCGUGAGGGAUGACGGCCUUCGGGUUGUAAACCUCUUUCAGCAGGGAAGAAGCGAAAGUGACGGUACCUGCAGAAGAAGCGCCGGCUAACUACGUGCCAGCAGCCGCGGUAAUACGUAGGGCGCAAGCGUUGUCCGGAAUUAUUGGGCGUAAAGAGCUCGUAGGCGGCUUGUCGCGUCGGAUGUGAAAGCCCGGGGCUUAACCCCGGGUCUGCAUUCGAUACGGGCAGGCUAGAGUUCGGUAGGGGAGAUCGGAAUUCCUGGUGUAGCGGUGAAAUGCGCAGAUAUCAGGAGGAACACCGGUGGCGAAGGCGGAUCUCUGGGCCGAUACUGACGCUGAGGAGCGAAAGCGUGGGGAGCGAACAGGAUUAGAUACCCUGGUAGUCCACGCCGUAAACGUUGGGGAACUAGGUGUGGGCGACAUUCCACGUCGUCCGUGCCGCAGCUUAACGCAUUAAAGUUCCCCCGCCUGGGGGAGUACGGCCCGCAAGGCUUAAAACUCCAAAGGAAUUUGACGGGGGCCCCGCCACAAAGCGGCGGAAGCAUGUUGGCUUAAAUUCCGACCCCAACCGCGAAAGAAACCUUUACCAAAGGCUUUGACAAUA
rnacentral:rRNA from 4 species